UACAGGGGGGGCAAGCGUUGUUCGGAAUUACUGGGCGUAAAGGCUCGUAGGCGGCCAACUAAGUCCGACGUGAAAUCCCCAGGCUUAACCUGGGAACUGCGUCGGAUACUGGAUGGCUUGAAUUCGGGAGAGGGAUGCAGAAUUCCAGGUGUAGCGGUGAAAUGCGUAGAUAUCUGGAGGAAUACCGGUGGCGAAGGCGGCAUCCUGGACCGACAUUGACGCUGAUGAGCGAAAGCUAGGGGAGCAAACGGG
rnacentral:rRNA from 1 species